rnacentral:rRNA from 1 species
UACGGAGGAUCCAAGCGUUGUCCGGAUUUAUUGGGUUUAAAGGGUGCGUAGGCGGAUAUACAAGUCAGAGGUGAAAGCUAACAGCUUAACUGUUAAAUUGCCUUUGAAACUGUAUAUCUUGAGUAUAGUUGAGGUGGGCGGAAUGUAUCAUGUAGCGGUGAAAUGCUUAGAUAUGAUACAGAACUCCGAUUGCGAAGGCAGCUCACUAAGCUAUUACUGACGCUGAGGCACGAAAGCGUGGGUAGCGAACAGG